GUGGCCCGGAAAAUGGGCUUUCCAGAGAUUAUUAUGCCUGGUGAUGUCCGUAAUGAUAUUUAUGUAACAUUAGUUCAAGGAGAUUUUGACAAAGGGAACAAAACUACAGCAAAGAAUGUGGAAGUUACAGUAUCUGUUUAUGAUGAAGAUGG